rnacentral:rRNA from 1 species
GAUGAGCGCUGGCGGCGUGCCUAAUACAUGCAAGUCGAGCGAACAGACGAGGAGCUUGCUCCUCUGACGUUAGCGGCGGACGGGUGAGUAACACGUGGAUAACCUACCUAUAAGACUGGGAUAACUUCGGGAAACCGGAGCUAAUACCGGAUAAUAUAUUGAACCGCAUGGUUCAAUAGUGAAAGACGGUUUUGCUGUCACUUAUAGAUGGGUCCGCGCCGCAUUAGCUAGUUGGUAAGGUAACGGCUUACCAAGGCAACGAUGCGUAGCCGACCUGAGAGGGUGAUCGGCCACACUGGAACUGAGACACGGUCCAGACUCCUACGGGAGGCAGCAGUAGGGAAUCUUCCGCAAUGGGCGAAAGCCUGACGGAGCAACGCCGCGUGAGUGAUGAAGGUCUUCGGAUCGUAAAACUCUGUUAUUAGGGAAGAACAAAUGUGUAAGUAACUAUGCACGUCUUGACGGUACCUAAUCAGAAAGCCACGGCUAACUACGUG